AAUAUCUCAGGGAGACAUAGAGGACCAGUCUGUCUCUAAGUAAGACCUUAAACUGGAUUUAUUAUCUAUGAAGUAGAAUUGCAUGAUGUUUCUAAAGGAAAUGUUAUGAAAUGUGAAUUAUACCAAAGUGAUGAUCUUUGAAAUCAGUUGAUAAUGAUUUAAUAUGAAUGAAUGGAUGAAAUAAUAAUGAUCAGAGACAUGAUGGAAGUUAAUAACUCAAGUGUCUUUUACCCUGA